rnacentral:lncRNA from 1 species
UGUAUAUGGCAGGGGUGUUAGGAAAGAUUUGAUCUGAACUCCUCAUUGUGCCGAUAAAGAAACUAAGGAAGAUUUUCCCAGGUCCAAAAGCCUGUUUUCCCUUCAUUUCAACGCAACGGGAACAAAUGAGAGUGUGGUAAUGGAGCCAGAAGGGGGCGCAUGAUGAUCGCUGAUGACGAAUUUUGACGGUGCAAUCUGGAUGUUAAUUUCGCUGACCUUGAAGUCAGGGUGGCCUACUUGCAGCAUUGUUCUAUAUAACUUCAGCCUCAAAUUGAAAACCAUACAUAUUUCGUGACUUGAUUCUCUGAGAUGGCGGA